AUCCAGGUCCCAUCCAAGAGCACUCCCUACCACCACCCUAUCCAGAAGGCACCAUAAUUUUGGAUGGACUACCCCUGGAGCCCUUGGCACCAUACCUAAGAGUAGGCCAGUGUGGUUUUCUUUAUACCCUAGUGCCUGUGUGCAUGGAGGUAAAGAUGAGACAGGCCGUAAAGCACAAGAGUACACAGAAAGUCGUAGCAACAUCUACAUUAGGUACUCAAACACGCUUCUCGGUGCUAAGCAGGAGCACACAAACAGAACAGCACCUUCCACUGGACACAUUACGUCACCUGAGGCCGUCACAAAGUGCCACUGAGGGUGCAAGUGAUGACAUGGUAUUGGAAGGCCCCCUAGCUCUCCAAGAGCCUCUACCCGAGUACAGGAAACAGAAGCAGCAGCAGCAGAAGACCCAGGGGAAUCUCCCUUGCUGAUAUCUGCCAAUCCUCGAGAAGACGAAGAAGAAGGAUGGGAUACCACCUUAGAAUCUCUGUGUAUGCUGGACCCAAAGGACACAACAGUUCACCUGUCGGAGCUAACGGAAACCUCCGGGAACGAAGAUGAUGAACCUGCAAGCUCCUCACGGCCACAGCACUCCAAGUCUCACAUAGUGCACCUAGCACCAAGUGAUGAUGAACGGCUGUUCCUCGUAGCGGAAUCUAGCCUACGGGAACUGCUGUCAUCUUCUCUUGUUGUGAUGACAACGACCUCUCCACAGAAAUCACACUGAUAGGUACAUGGAUAAAGGCCACAACAGAUUGUAGCAGAUGUUGUCAGCGGCGUACGUGGUCCAGCCAGCCUU